AUGAGUAUCGUGGUUAAUAUUAGAAGUCUUGGAUCUACAAUAUGGUCUUGGAUAUCUUAAUCAUGUACUUAUAAAAGGUCACUAUAUCACUACAAUAUGGCCAGCCAAGGUCCAUGCACCAUCACUGUAGGUUCGUAUUCUCUUCAUCCUCGCGUCAUGAAGCAACCAAAAUCGCAAGCACCACGAGAGCUCUACAAUGAGUCUGAACCUGCAAAAAUCUCCAUGCACCAUCACUGUAGAAGCACCCAGAUUGUAUAAUCUUCUUCGCAUAGAAGCCUCAACCCUUCAUCUUGUUCAAACGCGCAUUGCAAGUUGCUUCUUCUUCCCUCACCAUGAGGUUGCCGUCACGCAUUCAUCUUGAACCAAAACCUACAAGGAAAGUCAAACACAGAAUCAACCAAAACCCCUUCGAAUCGCGCUGCCAUCGUGCUUCCAAACCCAAUCGCUAACCUGCGAAAUCAAUUCCCUUCAUCGUGAGCUUCAUCUUCUUCCUUGAGCAUCAAACCUGCAAAAAGAAAUCAAGCAAUCGAAAUAGAAUUGUAGGUAGAAUCACUAAGGUUUGUAAUUUGGGGAAAAUGUUGAAGAUGAUGAACCUUUGU
rnacentral:sRNA from 1 species